UUCUCUCCCUCUCUCUUCCUCCCUCUCAAAAGAAAAUUUUUUUUACAACUCAAGGAAAUCUUAGACCAACUAGUCUGCUCUUUCCGUAUGCCUCUGCCUGUCUCCCUGAUGGUAUGUUCUUUCAUCAAGACAUUGACACUGACUGCUGAGUGUCUUCUGAGCAGUUUCUGUUACAAGCACUGUUUCAGGUGCUUGAGAUAUAAAGCUGAGUAGGUAUUAAUUACAAGAUCGGUUUACCAAUUAUCCCCUUUCCCCCAGAGGUGACGGAAAGUUCUCCCUGCAGAACACUCUUACUGAGCAGAAGUUGUUGGACAAACAGAGUCAGAACAAAGUGAAUCACAGAUCCCAAAAGCGUAUUUCUUCCAAGAUUGGGAAGUUUUCCAUUGCCCUUUUCCAUACUAGGGUUCUUGUAUCUGAAGAUGGAGGAAUAACUAAUAGUAAUUAACUAAUAAGUAAUAAAUUAACCAACAGUUAACCAUCUCUUAACCUGAGUAUUGUAUGUUCAGUUUCCACCCUCCUCAGAAUCAGAAUCCUACUGAUAGCGAUAAGGAAAACUUGUAUUCAGGCCACCAGUGUGGUUGGGCGGGUUGUUCACUGCCCAGGGGCGCUCAGCUGGAAGGGGCUUGGUCUCGGGAAUCUAACCCACACUCUGCAUGCAGCUGCUCCGAGGGAGAGGUUCCUUGGCUGUUCCAUGUAAAGCAGCCAUACGAGAAACUUGUAUUGAAUGUUUAAGCCGCAAGACGCUGUUCCGAAUGUCUGACGUAUAGUCACUUAGACCCACUACCCUUCCCCUGAGGUUAGUAAUAUUAUUGUUGACAUUAUUAUUAUCUCCAAUUUUAGCUUGGGCUUUGAGACACAAAGUGAUAGCAAGUUGGGGAUGCAGUAUUCACAUACUGGUGGUCUGAUUCUAGAGCCUACACCCUUCACUGCACUGUUCUCUUCUCCCUCAAGCACAUCCUUUGGCUUCAGAGUCCUCUCCCUGUUUCCGUGUCUGUCAUCCCUAGCUCUCAGCUCUCGUUUCUCUUCCUGUGAGACCUUGGAGUCCCAUGUGCGUAGUUUUGUCUUCAGAAGUAGCAGAGAGGCAAGAUCUAGAAUACCAGUUCUGGUGUGAGCUGGAGUCCAGUUCCGCCCGUGUGUCUUGACCUCAUCAAGCCUCAGCUUCCUCGUCUGUUAAAUAGAAGCCACAGUCCUCAUCAUCACUGAUUGAGAACUUCCUAAAAUGCCAGCUGAGGACAGGCACAGAGGUGUAGGCGAUUGGACCAAAGUCACACUAGUGUGACAGAGCUUCGUCACAGGACUCAGCCCUUUCUUAGAAGGACGAGGACAAAAUGACCAAGUUCAAGGUGA